CAAAUCUUGCUAGGGUUCCAGUACGCCAACAUUAUCCUUCUCCCUCUGUAUUGAUUGUCCUCAAAAAAAUACUUCAUCCUUCUCCCUCCGAUCCUUGUCGCAUCUACCAACCAAGUAGGAGUAGUCGAUUGCCUUGAAAAUCGCAUUCGGAUCUUUCAGUAGUAGUAUUGAACUCGACAGUCGCAGUCAGAUCUAGCUCAAUCGGAGUGAGUCAUGAUCCAAAGUCAUGUAGGCACAGAACAUCAGCUCUUCUUCUCGUUUUUUCGAUGGCGGAAAACCCAAGGAGGCAAUUCUACAUAUGCCCUUUAUGGAAGGUAACUGGUCUGGUUUCGGAAUCUUACAUGUAAGUGGAAAUUGUAUGGUACUUUUGACCUGCUAAUGAAUUCAUUGUACACUUUACAACAAAGCCCAUUGCAGAUAUUUUGAAUGGGCCGAUGAAGCUGAUUCUUUUGCACAAACUCAAUCAACAUUCGAGAGUACAUUUCCAAAGACGACCAAGCUGAAAACAAAAGAAUGCCAGUACAAGGUCGGAAACGUUGCCCAACAAUUGGACACUGUCUCGAAGGAUUUGGGUACCAUUAAGCUCGAGUUGGUUGCAAUUUGGGAGGCUCAACAAGCAUUGGUGGUACAACUUCAAGAAGUUAAGUCCAAACUGUGUAGUUUUGAACAUGGGUUGUGGUUUGAUUUUGGUUUGUUGUUGGGUACCAGGGGUCUAUUCCUAACUUGUGUGUGUUGGUCCUUCAAUGUGUAGUGAGUCAAACGAAGUUUGGGUUGUAGUGUAAGUUUUUUCUAUUGUUAAUUGUUGUACUAUCCAUAUACGAUGGACACGACUGCUUCAUCUAGUUAGUUUACCACACAUCCAAACAUGUGAAGUACAAACAAUAGGAGACAUAGACCAAUAACUUCUUGGGAAUGCAUGUAGGCAUUAUUACAGACCACCUAUUAGGGAAGUUAAAAAUAUCCGACCAAAUCCCUUGGCUUCUUCAAAAUAACCUGAUACAUACCGGCAUUAAGGUCUACAUAACCCACAUAUGACAGUUUGACUACAUUACAGACCGACAUUUGCACAAAACACCAAGUCUAAUAUAACAGUUCACCUAGUUACAUAAGUACUAAAUCAAACAUCCAAAUACCUACUCAUCAGGCUGAGUAGUCGGUGGUUGGCUUGGUCGCUCUUCUACAACAUCUCGUGGACAUUAUUAGUCACCCCACAUGUAGUUCCCCUGUAGUAGGUGUUCCCAGUAGUUGGGCUGACAUAUGCACCAACUCCUCGCAUAGCCUGUCUAACUUCAAAAGCCUCCUGCUACCUUGAUGUUGGCUGGACUUGAUUAGCCUGUAUCCCUCCCAAUCGUAAACAUCUUCUUGUAUUAUGAUUAUCACCCCUGCAUAGUGAACACCUCUGUUUUGACAUGCCUAUCUGCACUGUUGGUUCGGUUUCAUUUACACCGGGAUGUGCUCUAGCAGCUCGUUGAUUUCGUGCCUGCCUUUGUGUUACUGGUAGUAUAGUCCUUGGAGCCGGCUAGGGUCUGCUUACGUCAGGCGAUGCUUACUCCUCAGCAUCAACAGGUACAUCAGGCUCGACCGAUGCCUAAAUAAGAUAGAAAAUAGCAUAUGUUAGGCUAGUAACAUUCAGUCUGUACAAGAUAACUUACAACAUAUCUUACAGAAUAUGAGAAGCAUCUUUUACCACUUUCGCCAGGGGUGGUUGAGGUGUAGUACACUUCCUUACAUUAUG
rnacentral:lncRNA from 1 species